CCGACAGAUAGAGGCGCGGAUGACAUCAGUAGCAACACUUAUUCAAGGCAAGCAUGCCAAGUGAUGUGAAAGGGGAAAUCCGCCGAAGUGAACAAGAAAAUGCUUUUUCUUGAUUGCUGGUACAACGGUUAAGAUCCGUUGUACUGCCGAAACCCACGUUUCGGAGCGCUAUCUUACGU
rfam:Exiguobacterium sibiricum 255-15, complete genome.